AUUGAACGCUGGCGGCAUGCCUUACACAUGCAAGUCGAACGGUAACAGGCCGCAAGGUGCUGACGAGUGGCGAACGGGUGAGUAAUGCAUCGGAACGUGCCCAGUCGUGGGGGAUAACUGCUCGAAAGAGCAGCUAAUACCGCAUACGACCUGAGGGUGAAAGCGGGGGACCGAAAGGCCUCGCGCGAUUGGAGCGGCCGAUGUCAGAUUAGGUAGUUGGUGGGGUAAAGGCCUACCAAGCCGACGAUCUGUAGUUGGUCUGAGAGGACGACCAGCCACACUGGGACUGAGACACGGCCCAGACUCCUACGGGAGGCAGCAGUGGGGAAUUUUGGACAAUGGGGGCAACCCUGAUCCAGCAAUGCCGCGUGCAGGAAGAAGGCCUUCGGGUUGUAAACUGCUUUUGUCAGGGAAGAAAUCCUGUGGGUUAAUACCUCGUGGGGAUGACGGUACCUGAAGAAUAAGCACCGGCUAACUACGUGCCAGCAGCCGCCGUAACAC
rnacentral:rRNA from 1 species